GGCCGGAGUGGCUACAUGCAGUCGAGCGGGGAAUGUAGCUUGCUACAUUACCUAGCGGCGGACGGGUGAGUAAUGCUUAGGAAUCUGCCUAUUAGUGGGGGACAACAUUCCGAAAGGAAUGCUAAUACCGCAUACGUCCUACGGGAGAAAGCAGGGGACCUUCGGGCCUUGCGCUAAUAGAUGAGCCUAAGUCGGAUUAGCUAGUUGGUGGGGUAAAGGCCUACCAAGGCGACGAUCUGUAGCGGGUCUGAGAGGAUGAUCCGCCACACUGGGACUGAGACACGGCCCAGACUCCUACGGGAGGCAGCAGUGGGGAAUAUUGGACAAUGGGGGGAACCCUGAUCCAGCCAUGCCGCGUGUGUGAAGAAGGCCUUUUGGUUGUAAAGCACUUUAAGCGAGGAGGAGGCUACUAGUAUUAAUACUACUGGAUAGUGGACGUUACUCGCAGAAUAAGCACCGGCUAACUCUGUGCCAGCAGCCGCGGUAAUACAGAGGGUGCGAGCGUUAAUCGGAUUUACUGGGCGUAAAGCGUGCGUAGGCGGCUGAUUAAGUCGGAUGUGAAAUCCCUGAGCUUAACUUAGGAAUUGCAUUCGAUACUGGUCAGCUAGAGUAUGGGAGAGGAUGGUAGAAUUCCAGGUGUAGCGGUGAAAUGCGUAGAGAUCUGGAGGAAUACCGAUGGCGAAGGCAGCCAUCUGGCCUAAUACUGACGCUGAGGUACGAAAGCAUGGGGAGCAAACAGGAUUAGAUACCCUGGUAGUCCAUGCCGUAAACGAUGUCUACUAGCCGUUGGGGCCUUUGAGGCUUUAGUGGCGCAGCUAACGCGAUAAGUAGACCGCCUGGGGAGUACGGUCGCAAGACUAAAACUCAAAUGAAUUGACGGGGGGCCCGCACAAGCGGUGGAGCAUGUGGUUUAAUUCGAUGCAACGCGAAGAACCUUACCUGGUCUUGACAUAGUAAGAACUUUCCAGAGAUGGAUUGGUUGCCUUCGGGGAACUUACAUACAGGUGCUGCAUGGCUGUCGUCAGCUCGUUGUCGUGAGAUGUUGGGUUAAGUCCCGCAAACGAGCGCAACCCUUUUUCCUUAUUUGCCAGCGGGAUUAGCCGGCAACUUUAAGGGAUUACUGGCAGUGACAACUGAAGAAGCUGGUAACGAACGUCAAGUCAAUCAAUGCCUUAACGGACCAGGGUCUUUAACGACAACG
rnacentral:rRNA from 1 species